rnacentral:rRNA from 1 species
AACGUAGGAGACAAACGUUAUCCGGAGUUACUGGGCGUAAAGGGCGUGUAGGUGGUUUCGUAAGUCUGGCGUGAAAUUUUUCGGCUUAACCGGGAAAGGUCGUCGGAUACUGCGGGACUAGAGGACGGUAGAGGCGUGUGGAAUUCCGGGGUGUAGUGGUGAAAUGCGUAGAUAUUGGGAGGAACACCGGUGGCGAAGGCGGCCCUCUGGACCGGUACUGACGCUGAUGCGCGAAAGCGUGGGGAGCAAACGGG